GACGAACGCUGGCGACGUGCUAACACAUGCAAGUCGAACGGAAAGGCCCUGCUUUUGUGGGGUGCUCGAGUGGCGAACGGGUGAGUAACACGUGAGUAACCUGCCCUUGACUUUGGGAUAACUUCAGGAAACUGGGGCUAAUACCGGAUAGGAGCUCCUGCUGCAUGGUGGGGGUUGGAAAGUUUCGGCGGUUGGGGAUGGACUCGCGGCUUAUCAGCUUGUUGGUGGGGUAGUGGCUUACCAAGGCUUUGACGGGUAGCCGGCCUGAGAGGGUGACCGGCCACAUUGGGACUGAGAUACGGCCCAGACUCCUACGGGAGGCAGCAGUGGGGAAUAUUGCACAAUGGGCGGAAGCCUGAUGCAGCAACGCCGCGUGCGGGAUGACGGCCUUCGGGUUGUAAACCGCUUUCGCCUGUGACGAAGCGUGAGUGACGGUAAUGGGUAAAGAAGCACCGGCUAACUACGUG
rnacentral:rRNA from 1 species